CCUACGGAUGGCAGCAGUGGGGAAUAUUGCGCAAUGGGGGGAACCCUGACGCAGCAACGCCGCGUGAGUGAAGAAGGCCUUCGGGUUGUAAAGCUUCUUAAUCAGGGACGAAGUAUGACGGUACCUGAAGAAUACGCUCCGGGUAACUACGUGCCAGCAGCCGCGGUAAUACGGAGGGAGCAUGCGUUAUCCGGAUUUACUGGGUGUAAAGGGCGUGUAGGCGGGCCUGCAAGUCAGAAGUGAAAUCUGGGGGCUUAACCCCCAAACUGCUUUUGAAACUGUGGUUCUUGAGUGAUGGAGAGGCAGGCGGAAUUCCCAGUGUAGCGGUGAAAUGCGUAGAUAUUAGGAGGAACACCAGUGGCGAAGGCGGCUUACUGGACUCUAACUGACGUUGAGGCUCGAAAGCGUGGGGAGCAAACAGGAUUAGAUACCCGAGUAGUC
rnacentral:rRNA from 1 species